GGGCCUGUAGCUCAGUUGGUUAGAGCGCACGCCUGAUAAGCGUGAGGUCGGUGGUUCAAAUCCACCCAGGCCCA
rfam:Desulfobacula toluolica Tol2 complete genome